AGCACAAAUGAUGAAUGACAAGGGACUUAAUACUGAAACCUCGUGCUGCAGUGUGCAAUAUGCUGACAUGC